UGGGGAAUAUUGGACAAUGGGCGAAAGCCUGAUCCAGCCAUGCCGCGUGUGUGAAGAAGGUCUUCGGAUUGUAAAGCACUUUAAGUUGGGAGGAAGGGCAGUAACCUAAUACGUUGCUGUCUUGACGUUACCGACAGAAUAAGCACCGGCUAACUCUGUGCCAGCAGCCGCGGUAAUACAGAGGGUGCAAGCGUUAAUCGGAAUUACUGGGCGUAAAGCGCGCGUAGGUGGUUUGUUAAGUUGGAUGUGAAAUCCCCGGGCUCAACCUGGGAACUGCAUUCAAAACUGACAAGCUAGAGUAUGGUAGAGGGUGGUGGAAUUUCCUGUGUAGCGGUGAAAUGCGUAGAUAUAGGAAGGAACACCAGUGGCGAAGGCGACCACCUGGACUGAUACUGACACUGAGGUGCGAAAGCGUGGGGAGCAAACAGGAUUAGAUACCCCCGUAGUCCCUGAGCGGGCUGGCAAGGCGCAU
rnacentral:rRNA from 1 species